UACGAAGGGGGCUAGCGUUGUUCGGAAUUACUGGGCGUAAAGCGCACGUAGGCGGAUUUUCAAGUCAGGGGUGAAAUCCCGGGGCUCAACCUCGGGACUGCCUUUGAUACUGUAAAUCUCGAGUCCGGAAGAGGUGGGUGGAAUUCCUAGUGUAGAGGUGAAAUUCGUAGAUAUUAGGAAGAACACCAGUGGCGAAGGCGGCCCACUGGUCCGGUACUGACGCUGAGGUGCGAAAGCGUGGGGAGCAAACAGG
rnacentral:rRNA from 1 species